rnacentral:ncRNA from 1 species
AAGGAGUUUAACAUGUGCGCGAGUCAUUGGGCUUUACGAAACCCAAAGGCGCAGUGAAGGUAAAGGUUUGGCUUGUCCAGGCUGAGGUGAGAUCCUGUUGUUUUGCUCAUUAAUUCCAAGCUGCGAGCAGCAGGCGCAUCACCGGCCCGUCCCAUGACGUAGACAUGUGGCCUUGUGCUAUGUGCACCGUCGGGGCGGAGCAAGAGCGUACAUGUUGAGACCCGAAAGAUGGUGAACUAUGCUUGCGAAGGUUGAAGCCAGAGGAAACUCUGGUGGAGGACCGUAGCGAUUCUGACGUGCAAAUCGAUCGUAUAACGUGAGUAUAGGGGCGAAAGACUAAUCGAACCAUCUAGUAGCUGGUUCCCUCCGAAGUUUCCCUCAGGAUAGCUGGCAUUCUGAGAUAUAAACAGUUUUAUCCGGUAAAGCGAAUGAUUAGAGGCAUUGGGGAGAAAACAUCCUCAACCUAUUCUCAAACUUUAAAUGGGUGAGAAGCUUAACUCGCUUAAAUGGAGUUUUGCAUUGAAUGUGAGUGCCAAGUGGGCCAUUUUUGGUAAGCAGAACUGGCGCUGUGGGAUGAACCAAACGUGCGGUUAAGGUGCCUAACGCGACGCUCAUGAGAUACCACAAAAGGUGUUGGUUGGUCCAGACAGCAGGACGGUGGCCAUGGAAGUCGGAAACCGCUAAGGAGUGUGUAACAACUCACCUGCCGAAUCAACCAGCCCUGAAAAUGGAUGGCGCUCGAGCGUUGGACCUAUACCGUACCGUUGCUGCAAGCUGGGCCUAAGCAGGGUGAGGGCAAACUGACUUGGUCCAGGCAUGGAGUGGCGGCGACGAGUAGGAGGGUCGCUGUGGCUAGCGGGAAGCCUCAGGCGUAAGCCUAGGUGAAGCAACCACAGGCGCAGAUCUUGGUGGUAGUAGCAAAUAUUCAAGUGAGAACCUUGAAGGCCGAAGUGGAGAAGGGUUCCAUGGGAACAGCAGUUGGCCAUGGGUCAGGCGGUCCUAAGUGAUCCGGUAAAUCGGAACAGAGACGGGGUGCCUGACAUUGUCCGCUUGCGGGCUUUGUUAGUAUUGCUGCUAAAUUGUACUGUUGCAACGCAG